rnacentral:rRNA from 1 species
GACGAACGCUGGCGGCGUGCUUAACACAUGCAAGUCGAACGGACAGGCCCUGCUUUUGUGGGGUGCUCGAGUGGCGAACGGGUGAGUAACACGUGAGUAACCUGCCCUUGACUUUGGGAUAACUUCAGGAAACUGGGGCUAAUACCGGAUAGGAGCUCCUGCUGCAUGGGGGGGGUUGGAAAGUUUCGGCGGUUGUGGCUGGACUCGCGGGUUAUGAGCUUGUUGGUGGGGUAGGGGCUUUCCAAGGCUUUGACGGCUAGCCGGCCUGGGAGGGUGGCCGGGCACCAUGGUCCUACGGUACGCACCAGAAGGCUACGGGCCGCAGCGGUGGGGAGCAUGGCACAAUGAGCGGAAGCCUGAUGCAGAAACGCCGCGUGCGGAAUGACGGCUUUCGGGUUGUAAACCGAUUUCGCCUGUGACGAAGCGGGAGUGACGGUAAUGAGUAAGGAAGCACCGGCUAACUACGUG